CAGCAGCCGCGGUAAUACGUAGGUGGCAAGCGUUGUCCGGAAUUAUUGGGCGUAAAGGGCUCGCAGGCGGUUUCUUAAGUCUGAUGUGAAAGCCCCCGGCUCAACCGGGGAGGGUCAUUGGAAACUGGGAAACUUGAGUGCAGAAGAGGAGAGUGGAAUUCCACGUGUAGCGGUGAAAUGCGUAGAGAUGUGGAGGAACACCAGUGGCGAAGGCGACUCUCUGGUCUGUAACUGACGCUGAGGAGCGAAAGCGUGGGGAGCGAGCAGGAUUAGAUACCCGCGUAGUCCCUGUCUCUUAUAC
rnacentral:rRNA from 1 species